AGUUGUUGUGCACAACUCUUAUGGAUGAGGCAAACUUUAAAGGAGUACGGUGUCAUUUGUGACAAAGUGCCUCUUUGGUGUGAUAAUGAAAGUGCCAUCAAGAUUUCUCUCAACCCGGUGCAACACUUCAAGACGAAGCAUAUUGAGAUUCGGUAUCACUUCAUCCGGGAUCACAUUAGGAGAGGGGAGAUCGAGCUCAAGUAUGUCAACACUCGUGAUAACCUUGCAAAUAUUUUCACGAAGCCCUUGGAUAAAGCAAGAUUUCGCGAGUUAAGGCAUGAGCUAAAUAUCAUUGAUUCGAGCAAUGUGACUUGA
rnacentral:rRNA from 1 species